AGUGACUGAGUUUCUUCCUGCUGACUGUUUGGAGUUCCCCUGUGAGCUGGCGUAAGGUUUAGGAAAGAUGAUGAAAGAAAAGAAAUGGGCCCAGAGGGACCUAAGGAAACCAGGCCAAACUUGCUGUUCACGUGGACCCUUACAGGGAGAAUGGAAGGCAAAAGCAGAGAAAAGGCUUUUGAAACAGCACUGGUUUGGCUACAGACCUUGAUGUGUGUAUAAUGAAACUUGAAAGGUCUCAGAGGAAGGAACAGUGGUGUAGUGGACGCAGGGGACAGCUGUUCCCUGUUGGGAGACAAUUCUGCAUGGGCCCUUUGUAUUUCUGCACAUCUUGCAAGUAGAGACACUAACUGCAUUUGUGCUGGAUUAGAUUUUCAAGUAAACUGCUUUGGA
rnacentral:lncRNA from 10 species